rnacentral:rRNA from 1 species
GAUGAACGCUAGCGGCAGGCCUAAUACAUGCAAGUCGAACGGUGUCUUCGGACAUAGUGGCGCACGGGUGCGUAACACGUAUGCAACCUACCUUACAUUGGGGGAUGGCCUUUCGAAAGGGAGAUUAAUACCGCAUAAGACAGUAGCUGGGCAUCCAGCAGCUGUUAAAGAUUUAUCGAUGUAAGCUGGGCAUCCGUCCAAUUAGCUAGUUGGUGAGGUAACGGCUCACCAAGGCAAUGAUUGGUAGGGGAACUGAGAGGUCAAUCCCCCACAAUGGCACUGAGGUACGGGCCAGACUCCUACGGGAGGCAGCAGUAGGGAAUAUUGGGCAAUGGACGCAAGUCUGCCCCAGCCAUGCCGCGUGCAGGAUGAAGGCGUUAUGCGUUGUAAACUGCUUUUAUACAGGAAGAAACGACUCUUGCGAGAGGCAUUGACGGUACUGUAUGAAUAAGCACCGGCUAACUCCGUGCCAGCCGCCGCGGUAACAC